CCAUAUGACACUGUUUGAGGCUGUGGAACCUUUUCAGUUUCUUGUAGUGCAUCUUUUCCUAGCCUUUGAUUCACAGUAAUUUUACAUGAUCACAUUGUUAGCCUUACCAACUGUGUGACUUUUCCUGUUUAAGACAGUAAGUUCUGCUACUAAAUAACUUGCUCCCUGGUCCUUUUCACUGAAUGUACCUGUUUCUUGUUUGUUUGUGUGUUUGUGUGUUUUUAACAAGAGUUACUGUUUGUUUUAAGAUUCUAAUAGCUGCUUAAAGUAAUCAGCAUCUUUACUUCUCGAAUACCUAUGACUUAUAUUUAAGGGUUUUUGUUUUGUUUGGGUUUUCUUUUUUUUUUUUUAUUGGAGCCAUUCCCACAUCUCUAAGUUGUUUGACAUAGCAGGGAUUGGCAAAUGACAGCCCAUGGGCCGAACCUCACCAGAGGCCUGCUUUGGUACAGCCCUCAGGGCUAAGAUUGGCUUUUACAUUUUUAAAGCAUUUAAACAAGCAGACAAAGACAAAGAAGAAUAUGUGACAGAGACUACAUGUGAUCUGAAAAACCUAAAAUAUUUGCCACCUGCCUCUUUACAGAAAAAUCUUGCUGGCCUCCUCACAUGGAUGAUUCUCAAUAAAAUAAGAAAAUUUGGAUAAUCAGCCUAUAGAAGCUCCUUGGUAAGGGUCUUUCAUCAUAAAGAUGGACUUUUUCUGUGUCCUUUGUUCCAAUCACACAGGAAAAUGACUCAGAAGGUUAUAAUUCAUCAUCACUACCCUUAUCAGGGUUAUCCCCAGGCCUAAAAUUUUCCUCUUCCAUCUCACAUCUCACCUUCAAAAAUUACCACAUUGGGUUAUCAAACAUGUUUAUAAAAUACAAACAUGAGUUAAGUGUAAAACAUAAGAGCAUAGUAAAAUUUAAAAAUCCCCCCAAACUCAUCAAUCACUGGAGAAAUCACUUUUAGUCUUUUUCAACCUAUGUUUUGCCAUGUUUGUAACCACAACAAAACUGGGGGCAGGAGGUGGGGCAGGGUGCAGCUGAGCCUUUAGAAUGAAAAUUAAAUUUCCCCUCAUUUUUAGUUAUACUAGCAAAGCUUGUUUGGUCCUGUGAGUCAUCCUGUAGUGCAUAAGGGGAGUUUAGGGGAAAUAGUUAGAGAAGGAAAAACUCAUGUCAUCCAUUUACCACCCCUCUCGUCUGUGCAAUAUAGCACUCAUCAGUUACCAGUAACCUCCCAUAGCUUGCAUCAUAAACCAAACUGGGCACAAACAAAUACAAUCCUAUUGCACACUGCCACAAUGGGGCUGAAAGACCCCGAAUGAAAUUGCUGACAUGUCUGCUUAGCCACUAUCUAUCCUCAAAGUAUGCAAACUUCGAAAGUUGAUGUCUAGGUUUUAAAUCAAAAUCUCUUACAAACCCCUAGUGAUGACAUAUUGAACUUUAAGGUUUUGUGGAAACCAAAUUGAGAAACAUUGGACCAGAGUCUCUGUAUUCCAAAAGAUUAUCUUUCAUUUGUAUAAUCUAAAACUCCCUUAAGUCUUAUUCUUCUCCAAAACUCAAAGAUCUACCCUUCUUCAAAGAUAAAUUUAAUAAUCACUGGCAGAAUUAAAACAGAUUGUUCUCACUCUCAGCCAUCAAUAUUUUGGAAAACAUCAAGUGCGGAAGUAAGCAUCGUGACUCUGUUACAGUAACAGCUCAAAUAUCCGGAAGAAUGUGGAUUAACAGAGUAAAACUUCUAUCAUAGGAAGUUUUGAACCAAGAGAAGAGGCUGGCACCAUGUUCAUUUAUCCUCUGCUGUUAUGCAAGCAUGACUGCAAAAAUAAACAGCUUUAAUCAGAAAUGCUAGCAUAUGUAGAAACAACAGAUUUAUAAAUAAAUGUUAUUUGUACAUUUCCUUUAUCAAGCCUCUGUGGUUUUUGCUUUUAGAGCUAGACAUGAUAAAACUUGGGUAUUGCUUUUCUCCACUCAACUCCCUCUUUGAUCUCUCCUCACUAGCAUUUCCCUGGCUUGGCCAGAUAAUUUUUUCCAGUUCACACAGUCUCCUUAGAGUCUCUCAGCCCAUUUGGGUCUCCAGCUCUAUAUCAUAUUUUUGCAGGAUAGUCUCAUGACAAAAUUUUUAUUUAAUCUUUACAAAUACCUCAUAGUGUGUGGCCAAUUGUAUUUUCAAAAAUGGCUAUGCCAGUAUAUCCCAA
rnacentral:lncRNA from 1 species